rnacentral:tRNA from 1 species
GGGUGAUUAGCUCAGCUGGGAGAGCACCUCCCUUACAAGGAGGGGGUGGGCGGUUCGAUCCCGUCAUCACCCACCA